rnacentral:rRNA from 1 species
AGCGAACGCUGGCGGCAGGCUUAACACAUGCAAGUCGAGCGGGCGUAGCAAUACGUCAGCGGCAGACGGGUGAGUAACGCGUGGGAACGUACCUUUUGGUUCGGAACAACACAGGGAAACUUGUGCUAAUACCGGAUAAGCCCUUACGGGGAAAGAUUUAUCGCCGAAAGAUCGGCCCGCGUCUGAUUAGCUAGUUGGUGAGGUAACGGCUCACCAAGGCGACGAUCAGUAGCUGGUAUGAGAGGAUGAUCAGCCACAUUGGGACUGAGACACGGCCCAAACUCCUACGGGAGGCAGCAGUGGGGAAUAUUGGACAAUGGGCGCAAGCCUGAUCCAGCCAUGCCGCGUGAGUGAUGAAGGCCCUAGGGUUGUAAAGCUCUUUUGUGCGGGAAGAUAAUGACGGUACCGCAAGAAUAAGCCCCGGCUAACUUCGUGCCAGCAGCCGCCGUAA